UACGGGGGGGGCAAGCGUUGUUCGGAAUUACUGGGCGUAAAGGGCUCGUAGGCGGCCAACUAAGUCAUACGUGAAAUCCCUCGGCUUAACCGGGGAACUGCGUCUGAUACUGGAUGGCUUGAGUUCGGGAGAGGGAUGCGGAAUUCCAGGUGUAGCGGUGAAAUGCGUAGAUAUCAGGAGGAACACCGAUGGCGAAGGCAGCUCGCUGGGACGGUACUGACGCUGAGACGCGAAAGCGUGAGGAGCAAACAGG
rnacentral:rRNA from 1 species